rnacentral:rRNA from 1 species
GAGUUUGAUCUUGGCUCAGAUUGAACGCUGGCGGCAUGCCUUACACAUGCAAGUCGAGCGGCAGCGCGGGGGCAACCCUGGCGGCGAGCGGCGAACGGGUGAGUAAUACAUCGGAACGUGUCCAGUAGUGGGGGAUAACCUGUCGAAAGAUAGGCUAAUACCGCAUACGAUCUACGGAUGAAAGCGGGGGACCGCAAGGCCUCGCGCUAUUGGAGCGGCCGAUGUCGGAUUAGCUAGUUGGUGGGGUAAAGGCUCACCAAGCCAACGAUCUGUAGCUGGUCUGAGAGGACGACCACGCCACACUGGGACUGAGACACGGCCCAGACUCCUACGGGAGGCAGCAGUGGGGAAUUUUGGACAAUGGGCGCAAGCCUGAUCCAGCCAUGCCGCGUGCAGGAUGAAGGCCUUCGGUUGUAACU